AGCAACUGAGUGGAGAAAGAGCUGUGAGGGUAAACACAUCGAAUACACUCAACAUCCUUGGCACACAAGAGGGACUCUUGAUUUUGCAAGUGUGCAUGCCUAAUUUGGGAAGGACUGCUGGUCAGAGGGAUGAUUUACAGACACUUGCUUAAACACUUAUUUUCCUUCCGAAAGGCAAGCUGCCAUGGAGGAAGUCAAGAGUAUCUCAAGACUGUCCUUGAUUUUAACUUUUCUGAGGAGCCCAACUAUUGUCUUCCACUACAUGUUAUAUCCAUCUUUGAUGGUCUUAUUGGAGCCAAUUUUGCUACCAA